CACGUAGGCACCAAGCGUUGUCCGGAUUUACUGGGCGUAAAGGGCUCGUAGGCGGCCAACUAAGUCAGACGUGAAAUCCCUCGGCUUAACCGGGGAACUGCGUCUGAUACUGGAUGGCUUGAGAUUGGGAGAGGGAUGCGGAAUUCCAGGUGUAGCGGUGAAAUGCGUAGAUAUCUGGAGGAACACCGGUGGCGAAGGCGGCAUCCUGGACCAACACUGACGCUGAGGAGCGAAAGCCAGGGGAGCAAAGCGGG
rnacentral:rRNA from 1 species